rnacentral:rRNA from 1 species
UACGUAGGGACCAAGCGUUGUUCGGAUUUACUGGGCGUAAAGGGCGCGUAGGCGGCGUGGUAAGUCACUUGUGAAAUCUCUGAGCUUAACUCAGAACGGCCAAGUGAUACUGCUGUGCUAGAGUGCAGAAGGGGCAAUCGGAAUUCUUGGUGUAGCGGUGAAAUGCGCAGAUAUCAGGAAGAACACCCGUGGCGAAGGCGGCUCUCUGGGACGGUACUGACGCUGAGACGCGAAAGCGUGGGGAGCGAACAGG